rnacentral:rRNA from 1 species
UACGGGGGGGGGUAAGCGUUGUUCGGAAUUACUGGGCGUAAAGGGCUCGUAGGCGGCCAACUAAGUCAGACGUGAAAUCCCUCAGCUUAACUGGGGAACUGCGUCUGAUACUGGAUGGCUUGGAUCCGGGAGAGGGAUGCGGAAUUCCAGGUGUAGCGGUGAAAUGCGUAGAUAUCUGGAGGAACACCGGUGGCGAAGGCGGCAUCCUGGACCGGUAUUGACGCUGAGGAGCGAAAGCCAGGGGAGCAAACGGGG